CGAGUCUGCUUCCGACGGAAAGUGCCCAUUAGAGGUGGCAUGGCACCUGUGGACACCAGUGCAAGCAGGUGAAAGCAGCCUGACUGGACAGGCCUGCCGGACAAUGUGCCGCGUAUCUGGGAAGCUUCCGGCAACACCAGAGAAAGUGGCUGCUUUGAAGAACUGCCUGGAGAAAUACAUAAGUGACCAUCCAAUGAUGCCACCUGCACCACAUCCGGAGAACCACCUUGCUUCCCUGCGAAAGCACCUUUGGAGCUUUCUUUUACACAAGCAGGACGCCAGGGCAAGCGAGUGGAAAAGUAAAUACAGUACAAGUCCAGUGAUGCUUUUUCAAUAAAGUGCGAUGAUAUGCUA